rnacentral:rRNA from 1 species
AUUGAACGCUGGCGGCAUGCCUUACACAUGCAAGUCGAACGGCAGCACGGGAGCAAUCCUGGUGGCGAGUGGCGAACGGGUGAGUAAUAUAUCGGAACGUGCCCAGUCGUGGGGGAUAACGUAGCGAAAGCUACGCUAAUACCGCAUACGAUCUAUGGAUGAAAGCGGGGGAUCGCAAGACCUCGCGCGAUUGGAGCGGCCGAUAUCAGAUUAGGUAGUUGGUGAGGUAAAGGGCUCACCAAGCCGACCGAUCUGUAGCUGGUCUGAGAGGACGACCAGCCACACUGGGACUGAGACACGGCCCCAGACUCCUACGGGAGGCAGCAGUGGGGAAUUUUGGGACAAUGGGCGCAAGCCUGAUCCAGCAAUGCCGCGUGCAGGA